AGUCUCUGCUCCUCGCCCUCGUUGUUUCUAAUUUUGUGAUUUCAUUUCCGAUUUUGUGAUUUAAUCUCUGCUUCCUUUAAUUCUCAAAAGUAGUAGUUGCUGCGUGUAUUGGCUUUGAUGUUUGUGCAAAGGAGUUGAAGAUUGACCAGCCUUGAAGUUUGGUAAAUGUGGUGAUUCAUAUCUUCAAAAUUUGCUUCAGCCAUAUCCAGUGAGUGA